rnacentral:rRNA from 1 species
GAUGAACGCUGGCGGCGUGCUUAACACAUGCAAGUUGAACGAAGCUUAUAGCACCGAUUCCUUCGGGGAGAAGUGCUAUGAGACUUAGUGGCGAACGGGUGAGUAACACGUGAGCAACCAACCCCUUACAGUGGAAUAACAACGGGAAACCGUUGCUAAUACCGCAUAAUAUCGCUAUAUGGCAUCAUAUGGAGAUCAAAGAUUUAUCGGUGAGGGACGGGCUCGCGUCCGAUUAGGUAGUAGGUAAGGUAACGGCUUACCUAGCCGACGAUCGGUAGCCGGACUGAGAGGUCGAUCGGCCACAUUGGGACUGAGACACGGCCCAGACUCCUACGGGAGGCAGCAGUGGGGAAUAUUGGGCAAUGGGGGCAACCCUGACCCAGCGACGCCGCGUGAAGGACGAAGGCAUUCGUGUUGUAAAUUCUUUGGAGAGGGACGAAAAUGACGGUACCUCUCGAACAAGCCAC